rnacentral:tRNA from 2 species
GGAGAGGUACCGAAGCGGUCAAACGGGGCAGACUGUAAAUCUGCUGGGUCAUCCCUUCGGAGGUUCGAAUCCUCCCCUCUCCACCA